GGGGGAGUGCCGGAUCUUGGGCUGUGUGCCCUGGCACCCUGGGCUCCGGGGCCUGCACCACUGGAAUCGCUCUCCUGGGGCAACGCAGACCCUC
rnacentral:pre_miRNA from 1 species